CUUAGGCUUAUGCUCAAGUUUAGGCUUAGGCUUAGGCUGAGGAUUUGGCUUGGACUUAGGGUUAGGCUUGGGCUCAAGCAUGGCUUAG
ensembl:ncRNA T08H4.7 ncRNA